GGGCACCAGUGCACCCCCUGGAUCCGCCCCUGGCAUCAGGCAUGGUCCGUCCACCCGAGAGCAGACUUGCCUUACAGGUGUGCAGAUCCACACACAAUCUAGACACAGAAGCACACCGUCUGUGUCAGUGACUCUGAACUCAGGUCCCUGAAGAUCCUUUGAAGGGUGCCCCAGGGUGUGAGGGGAUUAGUGAGCUGUGAGGAGAUAAGUAGAUCCUGCAGCUCUGCGAGGGCAUGAGCGCUGUAAUGUAUAAGGUAGUUUUUAAUCGGUUGCCACUCAAUUCACAAAAGUUAUAGAGAGCAGCCCUGAGUCCAGUGUAGGGCGCCUUAAAUCCAAAAAGGUUGAGAUCCACUGAUUCAUAAAUUAGAUCCACAAACACCCUUAGCUUAUACCUCAUGAAGAAUGAGGCAUGCCCUUGAUUCACACACACACACAUACACACAUUCUGCAAAUCCCUGGAACAAGCAAUGACACAAGGAGUUUUGAGAUGAGGUGAGCGCCUGGAAGUAACAUUCAGUUCCCAAGUGGGUCACAGGGAAGUCAACUGCACAGCAAAGUGGGAUAGUGGGUUUCCAAGGAUCAUAGAUGAACUUAUCUGCAGCAUAGCAGCCAGAGAGCAUCAUGAAACCAGUCACACACAGGGCUCAGCCUGUUUGUCUGAGAACCCAACUGCCCAGUGCUAGGGGUGGGUACUAGAAAGGGUUAAAAAAGGUUGAAAGCAGAGGGGGAGCUACAGCUCUCUCACUGGGGAGAGCUCUUCUGAUGCCCCCGAGGUUGGGGUUGGCGGGGGAGCACUCUAUGCCAUAUCCCUGUGUUAGGUUGUAAGGCUCCCUGCUGUCCCAUUGUCAUACUCAUCGUCGUCAUCAUCAUCAUCAACAUUAUCCUCAUCACUGUACUCACCAUUGUCCUCAUUCUCUUUUUCCACAAGGACCUACAAAAGGACCACAGAGACUUGACCUGGCUAAUAGCGCACCGUGCUCUCCCAGUGAGGGUGUGGAGACACAGAGAGGGACAAGGGACUCGACCCAACCACCUCAGAGAAACCUACCAAGAUGAUAGAGAGUCCAUUGACCACCUCCUAUGGCUCUGUCCCUAUGCCAAGGGAGUGUGGAAAAAAGAGCGCCCAGUGGCAAUGCAGGAACCUACUGGUGUAUAGACACGGAGCUCGAGGAAACAGACUGUGUCAAAAUGUUUCUGAGUGAACUCCGAUCCUACUACCAGAAAGUGGUAGGAGAGGAUGGAGAA